GGGUUGGGGAUUUAGCUCAGUGGUAGAGCGCUUGCCUAGGAAGCACAAGGCCCUGGGUUCGGUCCCCAGCUCCGGAAAAAAAAAAAAAAAAAACAAAAAACCAAAAAAAAAAAAAAAAAGCCAGUUGUGUCCCUUCAAGGCCUGGAGGCCCUUUUCCUAAAUCUGGUGGGGCUCAGGCACCACCCCUUACACAUACUGGCUUUGAAGUCAGUUACCCAAGAGGAAGCUGUUUUAGGCCCUCUGACGGUUAAAUGCCAACUCCCAGCUUCCGCAACAAGGCACUGACCUGAUCCAGUGCGCCUAGCACUCCCACAGGGCCUGCAGCUUUCUGCUGGUGACAGUGAGGCAGAGAGAGCAAGGUCCACACAGGCCCUCAAAGGCUGUGAGCGGACCCACCCCCAGCCCCCACCCCAUGUUGGGUCUGUUGGAGUAAUCUCCAGGCCUGGAAGUUAAAAAGUUGCCUGCUACCCACAAGUGAGACCGGCUGCAGACUAGUUGGCAUGGGCGAGCUACUUCCCAGACCACCCAGGGUCCUGUCCCCACCCUGGGCAGGGGCAAAUCAAAGCUUGGGUGGGGGAACAGAGGGUUGAAGCUUGUAUUGAAUGUUGUGCCUGUUUUCCAAUGAAAUAAAAGCUCCCCAGCUCCAUCCCUU
rnacentral:lncRNA from 1 species